UACGUAGGGUGCAAGCGUUAAUCGGAAUAUCUGGGCGUAAAGCGUGCGCAGGCGGUUUUGUAAGUCUGUCGUGAAAUCCCCGGGCUCAACCUGGGAAUGGCAUUGGUGACUGCACGGCUAGAGUGUGUCAGAGGGGGGGUAGAAUUUCACGUGUAGCAGUGAAAUGCGUAGAGAUGUGGAGGAAUACCGAUGGCGAAGGCAG
rnacentral:rRNA from 1 species